GAUGAACGCUGGCGGCGUGCCUAAUACACGCAAGUCGAGCGAACGGACGAGAAGCUUGCUUCUCUGAUGUUAGCGGCGGACGGGUGAGUAACACGUGGAUAACCUACCUAUAAGACUGGGAUAACUUCGGGAAACCGUAGCUAAUACCUGAUAAUAUUUUGAACCGCAUGGUUCAAAAGUGAAAGACGGUCUUGCUGUCACUUAUAGAUGGAUCCGCGCUGCAUUAGCUAGUUGGUAAGGUAACGGCUUACCAAGGCAACGAUGCAUAGCCGACCUGAGAGGGUGAUCGGCCACACUGGAACUGAGACACGGUCCAGACUCCUACGGGAGGCAGCAGUAGGGAAUCUUCCGCAAUGGGCGAAAGCCUGACGGAGCAACGCCGCGUGAGUGAUGAAGGUCUUCGGAUCGUAAAACUCUGUUAUUAGGGAAGAACAUAUGUGUAAGUAACUGUGCACAUCUUGACGGUACCUAAUCAGAAAGCCACGGCUAACUACGUG
rnacentral:rRNA from 1 species